rnacentral:rRNA from 1 species
UACAGAGGUCCCAAGCGUUGUUCGGAUUCAUUGGGCGUAAAGGGUGUGUAGGUGGCGCCGUAAGUCGGGUGUGAAAUCUCGGGGCUUAACUCCGAAACUGCAUUCGAUACUGCGGUGCUUGAGGACUGGAGAGGAGACUGGAAUUCCUGGUGUAGCGGUGAAAUGCGCAGAUAUCAGGAGGAACACCGAUGGCGAAGGCAGGUCUCUGGGCAUUAACUGACGCUGAGGAGCGAAAGCAUGGGGAGCGAACAGG